UGUGCAGACAGCCCUGCAAUCAAUUGGCUUUAACCUCAAGCCCUAUUCCUUGCAUAAACUGCUCACCCACGAGUACAAGCCUCUGCACUGUGAAUGCAGCCCAGCUAAAAUAAAAGAGCUGCAUACUGCACUGCAAAGGAAGAAAAAGAAGCUUCAUAAAUUGGACAACUUGACACACACACACACACACCAAAAUAACACCAGAAAAGCUUGGUGAGGAAACUAAACGCUAACAAAGAAAGUGACAACAGGAAGGAAAUUAAGAAGCAUUUAACCUGUCAAAGAACUUGAAACAAUUCUGCCUGUGUUUCAGGAACGGUGAAAUACACAAUUUAGAUCCCAUUUUCUUGUGGAAUGCAGCACCAUGGACAAGCAACAAUCGGCUUAAUUUACAAGUUUUCUUCAACCUCAGGGAUCUGGCCAUCACUUGCGAGGCCAGCAUUUAUUGCCCUAAUUGUCCACAGGAUAUGGGUGAGCCACCUUCUUGUACAGUGACAGUCUUUGGGGUUUAAGCACACUCACAAUUCAGAAGGGAAUUCCAGGAUUACAACCCGGCCAUAGUGAAGGAAAAGGGAUAUAUUUCCAAGUUGGGAUGAUGCGUAGGUUGGAGCAGAACUUGCAGGUGGUGGCAUUGCAAUGUAUCUGCUGCUCUGUUCUUCUAGAUGGUAGAGAUC